rnacentral:lncRNA from 1 species
GGGGUGUAUAUUCAUAUAUUCGUGUUCUGCCUGAGGGAUUUCUUUUGAAAGUAAUUGUUAAUGUUGUUACACUACAUGAACAUGAAUAUAUGAAUAUACAACCCCCCACCCCCACCCCUCCAAUUAUCGGUUCUAGCUACGCCGCUGUUGCAGACGUACACUUACGAAACAUGAGUCAUCUUAUACAGCUAUACUAAAUAUUCUGUUUUAAUUUUAGUGUUGACUCUCAACACAACAUCAUGCUGUGUUCCAAGGUUUCCAAGGAACUGGCUCAUGAGUAUGGAGGGCCACAACUGUUUUAAUAAAAGGUAUGGUGUACACAGUAUUUAUGGUAUUUGUAAUUGUCUUGCCCAAGGCCAAAAAAAAUAUGUGGGUUUCCGGUUUCUUCUUAAAAAAACUUAGGUAGGGUAGGUCGGUUUUAAUCUUUUUUAAAUUUUUUUUUAAAUUUUCCAAACAAAUGAACGCCAUUUUGUUUAGUCAGUGCUUUCACAUCCAAAUUAGAUAAAUUUCCCUAAUAUUGCCUCAAAUUUCAAUUUUCCACGAACUUUUUCCUCUAAGUGGAAACACUUACAAGCAUGAUCCAAUAAAAAAGUUUAGGGUCGGGAUUUCGACGUCCAAAAGGAAGGUAGGGUCGGGAAACCGGAAACCCACAUAUUUUUUUUUGGCCCAAUAGAUAUAUUUUAAAGGCACAGUUCAGCCUGUUAAACGAUGGUUUUUAAGGCGCAUUUCAGCCCUGUUAAUUGAAAAAACUAACUAGGAAAAUUAAUUAAGCAUAAUUCAAAAUCACCAAUCUUAAUAUUUUUAACAUUUUAAAACAUUCAUAUUGUUAAAAACAUCGAGUUUACUGAUUUUAAAUUAUGCUUAAUUGAUUUUCCUAGUUAGUUUUUUCAAUUAACAGGGCUGAAAUGUGCCUUAAAAACCAUCGCUCAACAGGCUGAACUGUGCCUUUAAAACCUUAUUCUGGUAAUCACUUUACCAUACUUUACUCUGUCAAUUUUUCAAUAUUAAUUACCAGGCGAUAUAUGUUGGGUCACAAAACUCCCAACACAGCAACGUCUAUAGAGUGGUAUCACUUUAGUUUUGCUCACACCAGAGAAUCGUCCUAUAUAUGACUAAAGCUAGACAAUUGUACUGUACUUGUACAUAGCACAUGUCUCAAAAUUUGAUUUAAUUAAAGACUUUUGAGCAUAGUAUAGAAAGAGUAUAAUAUGCAGCUAAUUCUUAUGAUGUUGUCACAAGCAAUGCUGUAAUGCAGUAGUCAAAUGUCACAUGCCAGCAAUAUUAUCUGCAUUUGCUUGCAUUUUGUCAAAAUAUUUGCAUUUUGGAUUGUAGAAUUGACUAUUGUAUGUGACAACCUUUGCAUGUGCACGGUAUUUAAAGAAUGGUCCUUAAAAUGAUUUUUUCUGUGUUGGUGUUAUGUACUCAGGUGAAUAUGAUGUUUAUGCAAUGAUACUCUGAGUGUAUAACCACACCGGGGAAGUUUGAAAAAUAGACCUGGCCAGGGUGGGAAUCAAAGCUACGACCUUAGAAUGCCCAAUGCUCUGCCAACAGAGCUACCAUGAUUACUAGAUUGCAUUGAUAUCGAAAGAACUAGACUCAGUUCUGAAAUAUCACAUACUCGAACCGACUUGACUGCGUAGCUCAGUUGGCAGAGCAUUGGGAUAGUAUUCCAAGGGUCAUAGGUUCGAUUCCAACCGUGGCCGGGCAUAUUUUUCAAGCUUACCCGGUGUGGAUAUACACUCAGAGUAACAUCACAAGCAUCAUAUUCACCUGAAUACAUUACACCAACACAGAAAAAAUCAUGAUUAAUGGAUUAUUAGAUUGCAUUGUUAUCGAAGUAACUAGGCUCAUUUCCGAAAUUCACAUAGUAUUACUCGAACCGACCUGACUGCGUAGCUCAGUUGGCAGAGCAGUGGACUAGUAUUCCAAGGGUCAUAGGUUCGAUUCCCACCGUGGCCAGGCAUGUUUUUCAAGCUUGCCUGGUGUGGAUAUACACUCAGAGUAACAUCACAAACAUCAUGGUCUUUAAAAUGUUUACGCGGUUUUUACAUAUGAUUUGGUACAAGUUCUCGUGAACAUCCAGAACAAAUUAUUUUGCGUGUUUAAAUUUUCCACCAACAUUAACACACAGCAAGGGAUUAAAGACUUUGAAGAUCUGUUAACAGCUUUAGCUUUAAUUUACACAGUAUAACCAAUUUUUUAAGAUUGAAUUUUUAUUAUUUUAUAAAGGACGAGGUUUGAACUUAUAACACUGCAUUUAAUUUUGACAGGCAUUAAUUUAGCUUUGUAUUUCAAGGGGGUUGCUCAAUCUAAAACAUCCGUCUUUGGGUGUUUGUGACAUUUGUGACACUCUAUUUGAAAGUUACCUUUUGCUUUGUCUCCCCGAGCAAUGUAUAAAUUUAAAUACAUGCAGUAAAUGACAUUUUUAUGCUCAUUGCUUGUAAUGCCUCGAUAACCUCGUGGAUGAAUCUGUAAGGCUUCCAAAGUCGGAUUUCUUGCUGAGCAAAGUUGUGGCAUGCAUAAGCAGUCUACCUAACACCCCCUCCCCCCCCCAAAAUUACCUACUGUAUGUCGCCUGCGACGAAAAGGGAAAUCGUGUGUAAAAUGAUUAUGAAGAAGAAUUUAAAGAACUUUCAGAGUCUGAACAACGCGCAUACGGUGGAAGGAAAAGUCAUCCAAGCAAUGUCAUCCAAUCAUCAAAUCAACAUUUGAUACAAAAUUGUACUGUGUGAACUCAAUAGUCAACAUUUGUACUAUAAGUUUUCUAAGAACUUGUAGUAGUGUCAAACUUAUUUGUUAUUAUUUUGUAUCUUUCUUUAGAGACUUGCACGCAGGCUGAAGCACGUGGAAAAGGCAAAUUGGGGUGCCCAGAAAACUGCAAGAGUGUUCGAUGUUAUGAGGGCAGGCUACUGUACAUGACAUCAGAGGAAAGCGAGGUCGACGAAACAACAAAAAGGAUCAUGCGUUACAACGUUCGUAGGCUACCCUGGGAGAGUCCAUCUCUAUACGAAGGGCAAAGAAAAAGUUAGACAGGCUCCACACCUUGUCUUUGUCAGAACUGGUACGGAGCAGAAUUGUUCCUCGCGAGGAUGGACAGCCCUCCAUUCGACCUAAGCCAAAGACUUCCCGGAGUGGGCAGCUAAGAACGAGGAUGACAAUGUUGUUGAUGAGAGUGCCCAGUCAUUAUCCCUAGUGGCUCUUCGCUGAAUGACUCUGUUAAUGACAUUUUAAAUGAUCAUGACUCUGAUUGCUUUAGUUUUUCAGUAUAGUAAAGACCCACGAUAUAUCACCCAAAGUUUUCCAUGUUCUAAUGUAUUAAGAGUGCUUUAUAUAUUUGUUGUGAACCUGCAUGGCUUCUUAAACAGGUUCAUACAAAAUUCUAAAUAGAAAUGUUAGACUGAAAGGUUUUUAUUCGUGGGUUUUCAUUCUGCACGUGAUAAUUUGAUAAUCAAAUUUAUGAGUUUGCGUAAUUUACACUGUUUAUACGAUAUGCAUUUAUUCUGCAUGGCAGAUUUUUAUGUUAUUUAUAUGGUAAAUAUAAAAUUGAAGAAAAAAUUAUGUGUGCUGAAAUCUUGUGUGCUGAAAUCUGAAGUCUUUGGAGACAUUACUUCCUGCUUUGCUAUUAAACUCGCCACUGGAGCAGCUUGUUUGCUAUUACGUUCAAAUCUGGGAAACGCCAGAGAGAUCUAUGAAUGGCAUUACUUUUGUUUUAUUGAUCAUCUUACCUGCACGUACAAUUUAUUAACGAAAAUAUCUAAAACAUGGCUUAACUGUAACUAUUAUUAUUUGACAUUUGCAUUUGCGAUUUUGAAUAGUUUGUUUAACCAUUAAUGUUUAACCAUUAAUGGUUAAACAAUACUAUAGGUAUUUAAAUGGCAAAUGGUAACGUCAAAUAGACAAUAUACGUUUCUUUUCUGUUCUUUUCGUACGACAUUAAAUGUGUUUUAAGGUUAAAUAAACAUACAAAACACCUUUGCUUAAAGUUGAGUAAAGACAUGUACCUUUUCACAGUUUCAACACCACAUUAAAUGUGAUUAAAGGUUAAAAUAAUAAAGAUACAAAACACCUUUUCAUAAAG